CAAUAGCGUAUAUUAAAGUUGUUGCAGUUAAAAAGCUCGUAGUUGGAUUUCUGGUAGGAGCGACCAUACCAGACUUGAUUGUCCGCGUAAUGCGUUGUCUCCAGCCAUCCUCGUGGAGAUUGUUUUUGGCAUUAACUUGUCGAAUUCGGGACCCGCGUCAUUUACUGUGAAAAAAUUAGAGUGUUUAAAGCAGGCAAUUGGCUUGAAUACAUUAGCAUGGAAUAAUAAGAUAGGACUUUGGUGCUAUUUUGUUGGUUUGCACAUCAAGGUAAUGAUUAACAGAAUCAGUCGGGGAUAUUCGUAUGCAAAUGUCAGAGGUGAAAUUCUUGGAUUUUUUACAGACGAACAACUGCGAAAGCAUUUAUCAAGGAUGUUUUCAUUAA
rnacentral:rRNA from 1 species